UACGUAGGGGGCAAGCGUUGUCCGGAAUCAUUGGGCGUAAAGCGCGUGUAGGCGGCCCGAUAAGUCCGCUGUGAAAGUCCAGGGCUCAACCCUGGGAUGCCGGUGGAUACUGUCGGGCUCGAGUCCGGAAGAGGCGAGUGGAAUUCCUGGUGUAGCGGUGAAAUGCGCAGAUAUCAGGAGGAACACCAAUGGCGAAGGCAGCUCGCUGGGACGUGACUGACGCUGAGGAGCGAAAGCGUGGGGAGCGAACAGG
rnacentral:rRNA from 1 species